rnacentral:rRNA from 1 species
UACGGGGGGGGGCAAGCGUUGUUCGGAAUUACUGGGCGUAAAGGGCUCGUAGGCGGCCAACUAAGUCGGAUGUGAAAUCCCCAGGCUCAACUUGGGAACUGCAUCCGAUACUGGCUGGCUUGAAUUCGGGAGAGGGAUGCAGAAUUCCAGGUGUAGCGGUGAAAUGCGUAGAUAUCUGGAGGAAUACCGGUGGCGAAGGCGGCAUCCUGGACCGACAUUGACGCUGAACGGCGAAAGCUAGGGGAGCAAACGGG